CUACCGUUAUCGCGAGAUAAGGGGAAGAGCGGGCAGAAGUCAGCCGAGGGCAUAGUAGCUUGUAUGCAGUAGAGCGAAGGCC
rfam:Freshwater sediment metagenome lwFormaldehyde_BCIB13164_y1, whole genome shotgun sequence.